UACGUAGGGUGCGAGCGUUGUCCGGAAUUACUGGGCGUAAAGAGCUCGUAGGUGGUUUGUCGCGUUGUUCGUGAAAACUCACAGCUUAACUGUGGGCGUGCGGGCGAUACGGGCAGACUGGAGUACUGCAGGGGAGACUGGAAUUCCUGGUGUAGCGGUGGAAUGCACAGAUAUCAGGAGGAACACCGGUGGCGAAGGCGGGCCUCUGGGCCGAUACUGACGCUGAGGAGCGAAAGCGUGGGGAGCGAACAGG
rnacentral:rRNA from 1 species